GAUGAACGCUGGCGGCGUGCUUAACACAUGCAAGUCGAGCGAAGCGCUUAAGUUUGAUUCUUCGGAUGAAGACUUUUGUGACUGAGCGGCGACGGGUGAAGUACGCGUGGUAACCUGCCUCAUACAGGGGGAUAACAGUUAGAAAUGGCUGCUAAUACCCCAUAAGACCACAGCACCGCAUGGUGCAGGGGUAAAAACUCCGGUGGUAUGAGAUGGACCCGCGUCUGAUUAGGUAGUUGGUGGGGUAACGGCCUACCAAGCCGACGAUCAGUAGCCGACCUGAGAGGGUGACCGGCCACAUUGGGACUGAGACACGGCCCAA
rnacentral:rRNA from 1 species